AGAAAAUGCAGCUCGGGGAGUGUUCCCAAUUCAGAGCCUCAGAUCCCUGUCCAGUGACACUCGGGGGGCUCGUCCCCGAUCCCAGCAGAUAAUGAGUAACUUCCCAAGCAGUGGAGGGUAGGGUGGGGCUGGCCCAGGGAACAGGGGUCCCAGGGACCGGUGGUCUCACUGCCAGGGCUGGUGACCUCGUCUCUAAUCAAGCUAAAGUGUGCUCAGGUGGGCUGUAGGUGCUGCUGGGGGUGUGAGGGGGUGGUGGGUGCUUUGAUGCCACCUCCACCCCCCCACACCUGCAGUGCAUUCCCAACCUGCACCUCCCGGGACCCCUCUUUCCUUUAUUAGCAGUCGGUGAGAGGGCAGGGGCUUGUUGCUCGGUGGGUGCUGCUGUCUCUGGUGUUGGAUUUGCUGCGGAGGAUGAACAGCUCGUUUGAUUUCUCCCGGUCACUGUCAGAGGAUCGGCCCGUGGCUGCGCUGUGGGGUACGGAGCUGUGAGCCCCAGGACGAGACCUGGUGGGAGUGAGCUGGGCAUGGUGGCUCCGCUCUGCGGGCAGCCAGGCUGGGUGCGCCUGCCCCUUUCGCACUGAGUACGCACCCAGGAAAGCCGCCCUUGUGUUUUGGGGUGGGGGGAGGACCUUUCUUUGCUUUUGGGAGGGGGCAGCUUGUGCGUGCACAGAUCCCGCCGUGUUUCCCAGGCUGCCAGCUGGGCACAGGCUCCCGGAGCUGCGUGGUGAAGGAGGAUGACGACUUCUUGGAUCACCUGGUGCUGCUGAGAACGGUGAGAGCCGAGCCCCGCCCGGGGACCUGCUGGCGCUCGGGCCGGCGGCUCCCUGCCAUGGGCUCUCUGCUCGGCCCUGCAGAUCUGCCUGGGAGCUGACGCCAGGGACGAGCUGCAUGUGGUGGCUGUGGAUUCCAAAAACGCCUCCGGGGAGCACAAGCCGGUGCCCAUCGCGGCGCUGCGGAGCUCGCUGCUCCCCAUGUGGAAGAUGAUGCCAUGUCUGAAACCCACGAGGAAGAGCUCUUGGAGGAAGAUGUGGGUGAUGAGGACGAUGAUGGAGCUUCAUAGGACAGGGGCAGCCUGGAGAAGACUUUGGCUCUGGAGUGGAGCUGGUGUGGUGGUGGGAGCAGCCUGUGCUGGGAGCUGCCAAUGCCCUGUGCCAAGGGCGGUGGAUCCUCGCAAAGGGACACAAACUGCCCGGGUUUGGGUGUCACCCCUUGUCUCCUCUCUGCUUGUGCCUCCCCCUGCUCGGGCUGGUCCCCUCAGCUCCCCCAGGCACAGCUCAGCCUCUCCUGCCUUUUUGCGCAGGCAAAUUCCAAUUAAUAAAUGCAGGAAUGCCCUUUUGUGCAUAAGUGACCAAUUAUUUGAUGCAUGAGCACCCCAUCAGCUCCCCCACAAGCACCCAAUUCAUCCCGUGAGGGUUAAACAGCACAGACUUGAGCACUCAGUCAGUGAGCACAGGUGUGAGGGCCCCAGUGAGGUCCUCGGGUGCCUGGUUGAGGCCCUGUUAUCUGAGGGGCAAAGAAAAGGCAGGAGGAAGCAUUUCCUUAACUACCUUUUAAUUAUUUAUGUCUUCUGCUGUCUCC
rnacentral:lncRNA from 13 species